AUGAGGUGGUAUUCAGUAUUUAAUUAAGAAAACUAUCACCUGUGGAAUUAGAUGCACAGAUGUGAAAAACUAAGACACAGAGCAGUUAAAAGAUCUAAUGACAGAACUCAGAAUGGAACACAGGUCUCCUACUUCUAGACUCAUGUUUUUGAGGAGAUCCGUGGAUCAGCAUCUCUCCUGGUCAGGACCACAGAGGCCUUCCACCCGCUGUGUGAAGCCUCGUUGGAUGCCAGCUUCAAAAGCAAAAGAAACCAGCAUAUCAUUUGUCUUAUCUGUUCAGUGCCUAUGCAAUGCUUGGCAUAAAAAGGGGGAGAAUAAAUAAGAAGAAAGAGGUACAGAGAAGGAAUCAGAAAGAAAAGGAAAGA